rnacentral:rRNA from 1 species
GGCGAGUGGCGAACGGGUGAGUAAUAUAUCGGAACGUACCCAAGAGUGGGGGAUAACGUAGCGAAAGUUACGCUAAUACCGCAUACGAUCUAAGGAUGAAAGCAGGGGACCGCAAGGCCUUGUGCUCCUGGAGCGGCCGAUAUCUGAUUAGCUAGUUGGUAGGGUAAAGGCCUACCAAGGCUUCGAUCAGUAGCUGGUCUGAGAGGACGACCAGCCACACUGGAACUGAGACACGGUCCAGACUCCUACGGGAGGCAGCAGUGGGGAAUUUUGGACAAUGGGCGCAAGCCUGAUCCAGCAAUGCCGCGUGAGUGAAGAAGGCCUUCGGGUUGUAAAGCUCUUUUGUCAGGGAAGAAACGGUGGAGGUUAAUACCUUCCACUAAUGACGGUACCUGAAGAAUAAGCACCGGCUAACUACGUGCCAGCAGCCGCGGUAAUACGUAGGGUGCAAGCGUUAAUCGGAAUUACUGGGCGUAAAGCGUGCGCAGGCGGUUUUGUAAGUCUGUCGUGAAAGCCCCGGGCUCAACCUGGGAAUUGCGAUGGAGA